AUUGCAAUAACAGGUCUGUGAUGCCCUUAGUUAUCCUAGGUCGCACGCGCCAUACAAUGUGGCGCACAACGAGUUUCCUAGGCCGAUAGGAUUCUAGAAGACUCUGGGCAAUCUGAGAGAGCGCUACGUGACUGGGCUAGACUUUUGUAAUUGUUGGUCUUGAACGAGGAAUGCCUAGUAAUCGUAGGUCAUUAUCCUGCGAUGAUUAUGUCCCUGCCCUUUGUACACACCGCCCGUCGCUCCUGCCGUGGCUCGUGCCGGCGAAGAGGGGGAGGCAGCGUCAACGGAGUAACAUCUGAUUGUACGUGGAACCCCUCUGAACCUUCGCGAGUAGAGGAAGGAGAAGUCGUAACAAGGUUUUCGUAGGUGAACCUGCGAAAGGAUCAUUA
rnacentral:rRNA from 1 species